CCGCACAGCCGGGGAGUUAGCGGUGCCCUGUACCUGCAAUCCGCUAUAGCAGGGGUGUUGUCCGACCGAGGGCGUUUUUACUGUGGGGCUGCCCCUGAAAAGUGGCGUUGAAGUCUGGGUCUUGCGCAACAGAAAUCUGUGAACCGUGUCAGGGCAGGAAUGCAGCAGCACUAAGCAGAAGCUUCUGUGUGCCGCAAGGCAGCCUGGACCGAGUUAACUGUCAGGGUAACGUCCAUGGCAUACGUUCGAAGCCGGGCGUGCGG
rfam:Clostridium sp. CAG:43 genomic scaffold, scf221